UCUAAUGCAGUCUCCCACGGCUCAGGCCAUUUAGCACCAAUUUUUUCGCAUAAAGCCGUAAACCACCUGAAUUCUACGUAAUUACGUGCUAUUCUCCUGAUGAAGCAUGAUGUUACGAAGGAUGCCAUUCCAGUGGUGAUAAGAUUGACAAUUGUUUCUGUUGUCGCUCUUUGAAAAGAUCGUCACGAAUUUUUCCAAGUAAGGAUUUUAAACAUACUUUUCGUAAACGUCAGCCUCGUUUGUUCAGCGACGGCUUGUCAUCGAUUUUGUGACGGCCAAAAGUGCCGUUUGUUGUCAGGCGCACCACAAAGAUCGUCGGAAUGUUAAGAGGCAUCAAGUGUGCGUCUCUUCAAAAGCGCGAGAAUUUUAAACCUACUGUUACUAGGGAUCGAGCGCAACUUCAGCCGAUUGGCAGAUACUAUCAACAGCUAUAUUUCAGAUGUUUCUCGUAGCUAUAUGUGUUGUUGUUAUCAGUGUUGGGUUUUACGAAGAACGAAUGAGAACAUGGACGGAACUAAUGGGCAAUGUUGUUGUGAGAUCAUCUGAAGGGGAUCAACCAUAGCGGCUACAGAGGCUUCAACUAUCGGAGAACUACAACACGCGAAGCAGUCGAAGAGCAAAGCACCGGACGGUUUAA